UCUCUACUGGCACACUAUUCAAAAUUUUAUUUAUCUCCGCUUUCUAUGCGCGACUUUCUGGAAUUUGGUUGAAAUGUUAAAUUACAAACCAGGGAGUAAAUCUUGUCCAAAAACCUCUUUUCUAUUUUUGACUAAAGAACUACCUGCCCGUUUUGCAAAUAUGUAUUUGGAAAUAUCCCAUCUUCCUCGAGAUCUCCUUAAUAUAAAGCAAAUAAUGUCAUUACAAAAUCUUUAUCAACAAAGUUUUCUAAAAAUUGUGGACUAUGUGAACAAAAAUCCAGAAAAGCCUGAUUUAUUAGAAAAGUAAUAUUAUUUUUCCAUUGCAGGUUUAACCAGUGUAUUCAACAAAUAAGCUCCGAACAUUCCGAGAUUGUGACGACCAUGUCUCAAGGUGUUGUUGAAUAUCGAGACAAAUUCGGAUUUUCUUAUGAAAUACACAAUUUCCUCGAUCGUUUUUACACCAGCAAAAUCGGCAUAAAAAUGCUCCUAAAUAUGCAUAUCAGAUUGUUUGGAAUUAACUCCAACGAUGGAAAUGUCGGCUGUAUCGACCCAAACUGUGACAUCCU